UGGACUGGUGUAGGGAUUUCCUAGUGCAU
rnacentral:piRNA from 1 species